AGACUAAAAGUUGGGGGUCCAGGAUAGGGGACACUCCCAGAUGGAGGCAAAGAUACUGGCACACUUACAGAAGGUGAUGGAGAGGGGGAUGGAGAUGGAGAUGGCGAAGGAGAUGGACUAGGGGACAAAUCUGAGAUCGAGUGUUGUAGGUACGAUGACAACUGGACUCCUUUUACUUUACCAAAUACAGAGUGAUUAAGCCCAAGGUUUCCCACGUCAGGUUCUUUGAUUAGCUGAGCUAACUGCUUCAAUCUAUAUGGCAAGAGAGUCCCAUCUAACACCGAUGCCUCAAUGAUUGCUGGGGCUUCAA